AAGAGUAUAGGGGCUUUAUGCCCACUAACUCCACCCUUUGUUUACAUACCAUUGUUGCUUUGGCAGGCCCGUCGAAAGACAACCGGCUCCGGCUGGUCAGUGCCUGCCAGAGGAUCUAAACUCUUGUUUAAUCAUAUUGUCUGAGUACUAUAUAAUAGUUA
rnacentral:misc_RNA from 1 species